rnacentral:rRNA from 1 species
CCUACGGGCGGCAGCAGUGGGGAAUAUUGGGCAAUGGAGGCAACUCUGACCCAGCAACGCCGCGUGAAUGAUGAAGGUCUUCGGAUUGUAAAGUUCUGUGAUGGGGGAUGAACACAAUGACGGUACCCCAAUAGCAAGCCACGGCUAACUACGUGCCAGCAGCCGCGGUAAUCCGUAGGUGGCAAGCGUUAUCCGGAAUGACUGGGCGUAAAGGGUGCGUAGGUGGUUUAGUAAGUUGGCGGUGUAAUUCCGGGGCGCAACCUCGGCGCUACCGCCAAAACUAUUAGACUAGAGUGCAGGAGGGGUAAGUGGAAUUCGUAGUGUAGCGGUGGAAUGCGUAGAUAUUAGGAGGAACAUCAGGGGCGAAGGCGACUUACUGGACUGUAACUGACACUGAGGCACGAAAGCGUGGGGAGCAAACAGGAUUAGAUACCCUAGUAGUC